GGCAAACCGAUUGCUGAGCUUUCGGGGUUUUCUUCAAAAGCAUCAGGAGGGAAAUUAAAAAUUAAAAAGAAGGCUUCAAGGAAUGUUUCUACUCCCAUCGACAGUGACAUUCGUUGAAUGAACAAGCUGCUCUCAUCUAACUCAGGUAACAACGUUUCUUUUUGCCCCUCAAAUGAAGCUUCGGAUACUGUAGGUUUGGGUAAGGAACUAGGUAUUGCAUUUGAUGGGGAAGAGGGCUCUGUUAUUAACCAUUUUGUGAAGCAAAUCAAAGGAGACAUGCACCUCUGCGAUUCUAAGAAGUAGUCCAGUUUGCCAUCUCCAAGGUGCAUUAUGGCUACUGUUUUGUCUUGGAACUGUCGAGGGCUUGGAGGAUGUUCCAAAAUCUCAUCUAAGGAAGCAUAUUAGGAAAUCAAAUCCUGAUUUAUUAGCUAUUCUGGAAACCAAGUUUGAAGUGAUGAAUUUUUCUGUAAUUAGGAGGCUGGGUGGUAUGGUUAAUUCGGACCGGACUUCUUCUAGUUCUGAUGGUAGGUCGGCUGGUAUUUUAGCUAUUUGGAACAAAGAUUCAGUUAUGGUUUCUGAGGUUCGGGUCUUCAAUAAUUGGAUUUUGUUAAAUGAGCAAUUUAGGAAAUGUGAGUUUCAAUCUCUGGUUGGUUUGAUCUAUGCUCCUUGUGAGGUUGGUCAGCAGGAAUCCUUUUGGCAGCAUGUAGCCCAGACGCCAGAGGCAACUAAUUCCCCAAUCCUUUUGAUGGGCGAUUUUAAUCAGGUCUUGAGUAGUAGAGAAAGAAGCAGUGGCAGUGCCUCACUUGUUGGUAAGGAAAAUUUUUGAAACUUUGUUAACAUUUUGAAUUUAUCUGACCUUCCGUUAAAGGGGAAAAUUUUUUACUUGGACAAAUUCUCAGUCGAAAAGCAGAAUUGACAGAGCACUUGUUUCUCCACAAUGGCUUGUCUCUUUUCCCAAUUUGUUCCUUAAGGGGUUUGCCAAGAGGUCCAUCUGACCACAACCCCCUGCUCCUUAGCUCUGAAGUCAUCGAUUGGGGUCCUAAGCCGGUUCGAUUUUUGGAUUCCUGGUGGUUAUGGCCUGGUUUUUCGGGUUUCCUAAAAGAUCUGUGGGAUGAAAUAUGUAGAAAUUCUCCAUCGUCCUCUUUGCCAGUUAAGCUUAAGCUUCCUCGUAUUAAGCUCAAGGAUUGGAAUAAGAAUGUCUUUGGGCAUAUUGACUCUAAAUUCAGUGAAACAAUGAAGCUUCUUGAUCAAUGGGAAAGCACAGCUGAAGUGAGAUCUUUAUCACCGCAAGAGCAGCAGUAUGUUCAAGAACUAUCCAAGGAAAAGCAAUUAUGGGCUUCUCGCACUGAGUGCUUCUGGAGACAAAAAUCCAGGAUGCUGUGGUGUAAGCUAGGGGAUAGGAACAUGAAAAUUUUCCACAUUCAGUGUUCCAACUGUUGGAGGAAAAACUCUAUAACUCAAAUUGUGGCGGAUGGGCAAUUACUUUCAGGAAAGGAAGAUGUUCGUGGUGUUAUUUUGACCAUUUCAGGGCAAGCUUCUGCCAAGAUUACGAGAUUUUUGGUCUUGCCUUAAGCCUAAAUUACCUGCGUCUAAGUAGUUCGGAGGCUCAAGCUUUGGAAGCUCCUUUUGCAAUUGACGAAAUUAAGGGAGCUGUUUGGAGUUGUAAUUCAAGGAAAGCACCAGGCUUGGAUGGAGCUAAUUUUAAUUUUUAUAAGCGAGCCUGGCUACUCAUUUAGGAUGAAUUGUUGAAUUUAAUGGAUAUUUUCUUCCGAAAUUCUUCUCUUCCCCAUGCUAUCCACUCAUCCUUUGUUGCAUUAAUUUCAAAAGUGGCAGGUGCUUCAAGAGUCCAACAUUUCAGACCCAUAAGUUUGUUACACGGUAUAUACAAAAAGUAGUGGCUAAGGUUCUCUCUUUGCGGCUUAAGUGUGUUAUGUCUUCUGUUAUUAGCCAGCAGCAAAGUGCUUUUAUCAGUGGCCUUCAAAUCUUGGAUUCCUUCCUCAUUGCGAGCGAAGCUAUUGACUAUUAUAGGAGGAAUAAACUGAGUUGCCAUGUGUUUAAAGUGGAUUUUGAAGACUUUCGAUUCUGUAAAAUGGAAGCAUAUAGACAAGACCUUGGAAUUCAUGGGAUUUGGGUGUAAAUGGCAUUCAUGGAUCUCCACCUGCAAUUAACAUUGCCGAAUCUCCAUCCGCAUUAAUGGUUGCCCUUCGGCCGGAUUCAAAAUGCGAAAUGGUCUUCGCCAAGGGAAUCCACUCUCCCCUUUUCUCUUCAAUGUAGCUGUGGAACCCCUAAGUCUUUUAAUCUCCAAGGCUUGUGAGUUAGGGAAACUUCAGGGUAUAUCGAUUGGUACUGGUGGAGCAACUGUCUUGCAUCUUCAGUUUGCUGAUGACACCAUAUUCCUUUCCCCUCCCCAGCUGGAGUUCGCUAGUAAUAUUACAAGGAUCUUGCGGUGUUUCUAUGCAAUUUCUGGGCUUAAUUUCCACAAAAGUCAAGUUUUUGGGAUAAACAUUGACAGUCAGACUGCUUCACAUACUGCACAUCUUUGUUGCUACCAGAUUAGAGUGCUACCUACUAAGUAUUUGGGGUUCUCGCUUGGUGCCAACAUGAAAAGGUCUGCGGCCUGGGCACUUGUUGUUCGGAAGGUGGAAAAUAGACUUUCUUUUUGGAAAGGUAAAGUUCUCUCUAUGUCUAGCUGGCUCACACUAAUUAAGUCUUGCCUCCAAUCUACAUUGUAUUAUCUAUCAGUUUCAAAAUGCCCAAGAUGGUUGCCCAAAAACGGUGGUGGUGGGGGGCGGGGAGUUGAUAGGAAGAAGCUUCAUUUGUUGAAAUAGGAAAUCUUGACAUUGCCGAAGUCCAAAGGGGGCCUAGGGAUUACUAAUUUGUUAUUGCAUAAUCAAUCCCUUCUAUUUAAAUGGCUUUGGAGACUUUAGAAUCAGUCUAAUUCAGCUUGGGGCACUCUGUUAUAGUCCAAAUAUCAUUUCCAGUUGGAGAAUGGUAUUCUUUUGGCUGCUAGUUCAUCUUUAUCUUCUCUCUGGAGGGACAUUCAGCUUUCGGGUUCUUCUCCAUCAUCAAGUUUCUUAAUUAUGGAGAACUUAAUGAUCCUUGUUGGGGAUGGAUUCUCCACUAAGUUCUGGCAUGAUAAUUGGGCCGUUGGUGGCGCUAUGAAAUUUCAAUUUGCGCGUUUGUUUUCUAUUUCUAACAGCCCAGAUGCCACAGUAAGUGAAAUGGGCUCUUGGGUUGGCAAUACGUGGACUUGGAAUUUUUCAUGGAGAAGGGAUCUUUUUUCUUGGGAAUUGGCCUCUGUACAUAAUUUGUUGGAUAUUAUUAAUUCAUCUCCAUUGUGCCCUAAGGAUCAUCUGAUAUGGAAGUUAACCCCGAAUGUUGCUUUCUCAGUUCACUCAUUGUACCUUGAACUGCUUGAUGCUUGUUCAUAAGGGCACACUAAUUUUCCUUUUGUCUGGCAAGGUCUUGCACCUCCUAAAAUCGAAAUUCUAGUUUGGUUAAUUUGUCAGGGUUGACUUACCACAAAAGAUUGGCUAUGUUAUUUAAAUAUCAUUCCCAUUAGUGAAGCCUUUUGCCCCCCUUUGUGGCAUUGUUGAGGAGUCUAUCGAUCACAUCUUUGUUGACUGUCAAUCCUUUUGGCGUAUUUGGUUGUGGUUUCUUAAUUGGUAGGGCAUCCAUCUUGUUUGCUGUCAAAUGUUAAGGAUCUUUUGGCACAAUGGAAGUCGCUUGUUUGUGGUUGUUUUCAACAAAAAUUUUGGGUCAUUUUGUUUUAUGCCAUUGUGCGGUCUAUUUGGAUUGCGCAGAAUCAAAAAAUCUUUAAGAAUAUUGAUCUGGCACAUGUCUCAUUGUGCUCAACAAUUUUGUUUAGAGUAUCAGUUUAGUUAAAGUCUAUUGAUCUGGACUUCCCCUAUUCAGGCUUAGACCUUCUUUCUUCUGCUGAUUCAAUCAAAUGCUGGUCUAAUCAAGUGUCUCAGCGUUCAGCUUUUUCUUGGGUUGCCCCUCAUACCAAUUCAAUUGAAUGGAAUGUUGAUGGAUCUUCCUUGGGUAAGCCGGGACGUAGUGCAAUGGGUGGAAUUCUUAGAGACUCUAAUGGUUCUUUACUGGGUAUGUUUUCAUUCUUCACAGGUGUCUUAGACUCGAAUAUUGCUGAACUUAAAGCAAUUCAUAAAGCAUUGGAGUUACUAGUUUCCAAUUCUCAAGUGUUAAUGGGUGUAAGUGAUGUUAUUAUCGAAUCAGAUUCUGGAAUUGCUCUUCUUGGGUCUCUCAUCCAGACAAAGCUCCUUGGAGAGUUAAUGGAAUGCUGAAUUUAAUUCUCAAUUGCUUGCUUGCUUUACCUCAUACGAUUUUCUCUGAUACUUUUAGAGAAGCGAACUCCACUGCAGAUUUGUUGGCUAAGCAAGGAUUAUCUUGAAGUGAGGACUUUGUGGCUUGGCUGUAGGUGAUUGCUUGGGUUUUUCUUAUUACUGUUUGUUUUGCCUUUCGCUUUUAGAUUUAGAUUUAGAUUCAGCUGCUGGUUGAGUUCUUGUCUUUGUGGGUGUGUCGUUGUACUGCUUCCUUAUAUUAGUUUUGAUUUUUUCAGGUUUGUUUGGGUUCGCU
rnacentral:misc_RNA from 1 species